rnacentral:rRNA from 1 species
AACGAACGCUGGCGGCAUGCCUAACACAUGCAAGUCGAACGAGAUCUUCGGGUCUAGUGGCGCACGGGUUCGUAACGCGUGGGAAUCUGCCUUUUGGUUCGGAAUAACAGUUGGACACGACUGCUAAUACCGGAUGAUGACGAAAGUCCAAAGAUUUAUCGCCAGGGGAUGGGCCCGCGUAGGAUUAGCUAGUUGGUGUGGUAAAGGCGCACCAAGGCGACGAGCCUUAGCUGGUCUGAGAGGAUGAUCAGCCACACUGGGACUGAGACACGGCCCAGACUCCUACGGGAGGCAGCAGUGGGGAAUAUUGGACAAUGGGCGAAAGCCUGAUCCAGCAAUGCCGCGUGAGUGAUGAAGGCCUUAGGGUUGUAAAGCUCUUUUACCCGGGAUGAUAAUGACAGUACCGGGAGAAUAAGCUCCGGCUAACUCCGUGCCAGCAGCCGCCGUAA